rnacentral:rRNA from 1 species
UACGUAGGUGGCAAGCGUUAUCCGGAAUUACUGGGCGUAAAGCGCACGCAGGCGGUCUUUUAAGUUUGACGUGAAAGCUCCCGGCUUAACUGGGAGAGGUCGUUGAAGACUGGAAGACUUGAGGCAAUGAGAGGGGUGUAGAAUUCCCGGUGUAGUGGUGGAAUGCGUAGAUAUCGGGGGGAAUACCAGUGGCGAAAGCGGCACCCUAGCGUUAGCCUGACGCUCAUGUGCGAAAGCGUGGGGAGCAAACAGG